CAGUUCCAGGGUGCCUCAUGGUGGCUUUGCCCAUAUAAUGGGUGGCAGUGGAUUGCAAAAUUUUACAAUUGCUGCUGUGCCGUACACUGCAAAUCUUUUACCAACAUCAAGCACAUGUAUCAACAUGCUCAAGUUACCUGAAUACCCAAGUAAAGAAAUCCUUAAGGACAGGCUUCUUGUGGCAUUGCACUGUGGAAGCUAUGGUUACACAAUGGCAUAAUGAAGUCUAGAAAACUCAUCUGAGUACUGAUGUGCAAUUCAGAGCAGCAGAAGUAAUUUUGGAAACUGUCAAUAGAAAAGCGGCGGAGAUACCGCAACCCCUUGGCUGGGCUGGGUUUCAGAAUUCGUACAGGAUCCUCAGCUUUUCCUCCAUUAUGUUGUCAAAGUAACUUUGAUGCCAUCACAACAAACUUCUCAGUAUGCUGUCAUUUUUUAAAAUGACAGAUCUGUAUGGAAAUCAAUUUACAUGCUUUUCAUUAUUGUUUCUGAAUCGGAAAGUUUGUCAGAAUCUCUUUCCACAGUUUACUUUUGUUUUUCAACUCGAUGGUUGAAUGACAUUUGCGCUUUAUUUUACUUUGCACUCAGAUGGCAUACUGCUAAUGGACAGACUUGUACUUUAUGCCUUGUUGCACGUGAAAGUGCCAUUUAUUUUUGCAGAGAACGCUAUAGACAGUUCAAUUUGGAUACUGUACAGUAAGACAGAUCCGAUGUAUUUUCCAUUUCUUUGCAUAGUAACAGAAAUAAAAUUUUAUAACUUUUUAGUAUUUUAAUGUAUAUAGUAUGUAAAGAUUAGACUGUUAUCACUGGAGAAAAUAACAGAUGAAGUUAAUAUCUAAUUUAUAUUAGAAUUUACACUAUAUUCUGCUAAAUGUUUAAAGCAUUUGUGACUUUAUAGUCAACUUUCAGUUUAGAACUUGUAAAUAUAAUUUAAGAUCUAUAUCCAUUUGUUUGAAUGCCUUUACUCUUUCCUUAACAUAAUUGUAUGUUUAAAAGGUAUUAUUAAAUUUUAAUAUUUUUACCA